rnacentral:rRNA from 1 species
AGUGAACGCUGGCGGUAGGCCUAACACAUGCAAGUCGAACGGCAGCACAGUAAGAGCUUGCUCUUACGGGUGGCGAGUGGCGGACGGGUGAGGAAUACAUCGGCAUCUACUUUUUCGUGGGGGAUAACGUAGGGAAACUUACGCUACUACCGCAUACGACCUACGGGUUAAAGCAGUAGAUCUUCGCACCUUGCGCGAUUCAAUGAGCCGAUGUCGGAUUAGCUAGUUGGCGUGGUAAAGGCCCACCAAGGCGACGAUCCGUAGCUGGUCUGAGAGGAUGAUCAGCCACACUGGAACUGAGACACGGUCCAGACUCCUACGGGAGGCAGCAGUGGGGAAUAUUGGACAAUGGGCGCAAGCCUGAUCCAGCCAUACCGCGUGGGUGAAGAAGGCCUUCGGGUUGUAAAGCCCUUUUGUUGGGAAAGAAAAGCAGCAGGUUAAUACCCCGCUGUUCUGACGGUACCCAAAGAAUAAGCACCGGCUAACUUCGUG